UAGAGUUUGAUCCUGGCUCAGAUUGAACGCUGGCGGCAUGCCUUACACAUGCAACGUCGAACGGUAACGCGGGGCAACCUGGCGACGAGUGGCANAACGGGUGAGUAAUGCAUCGGAACGUGCCCAGUAGUGGGGGAUAGCCCGGCGAAAGCCGGAUUAAUACCGCAUACGACCUACGGGUGAAAGCGGGGGACUCGCAAGAGCCUCGUGCUAUUGGAGCGGCCGAUGUCAGAUUAGCUAGUUGGUGGGGUAAAAGCCUACCAAGGCGACGAUCUGUAGCUGGUCUGAGAGGACGACCAGCCACACUGGGACUGAGACACGGCCCAGACUCCUACGGGAGGCAGCAGUGGGGAAUUUUGGACAAUGGGCGCAAGCCUGAUCCAGCCAUGCCGCGUGCGGGAAGAAGGCCUUCGGGUUGUAAACCGCUUUUGUCAGGGAAGAAACGCUCUGGGCUAAUACCCGGGUAAUGACGGUACCUGAAGAAUAAGCACGGGCUAACUACGUGCCAGCAGCCGCGGUAAUACGUAGGGUGCAAGCGUUAAUCGGAAUUACUGGGCGUAAAGCGUGCGCAGCG
rnacentral:rRNA from 1 species